AGGUAAGCUAUAAAGAGCAAAUGGUGGAUGCCUUGACUGGUAAAGGCGAUGAAGGACGUACUAGACUGCGAUAAGCUACGGGGAGCUGUCAAGAAGCUUUGAGCCGUAGAUUUCCGAAUGGGGCAACCCAAGAUAUAGAGAUAUAUCUUACCAUAAUGGAGCGAACGAGGGGAAUUGAAACAUCUUAGUACCCUUAGGAAAAGAAAUCAAUAGAGAUUGCGUCAGUAGUGGCGAGCGAAAGCGUAACAGGGCAAACCUAGUGCUUGCACUAGGGGUUGUAGGACUGCAAUGUGGAAGGAAUGAGUUUAGCAGAACACUCUGGAAAGUGUAGCCAUAGAGGGUGAUAGUCCCGUAUGCGAAAAACGAUUUCUACCUAGCAGUAUCCUGAGUAGGGCGGGACACGUGAAAUCCUGCCUGAAGCUGGGGAGACCACUCUCCAACCCUAAAUACUCCUACCAGAUCGAUAGCGAACAAGUACCGUGAGGGAAAGGUGAAAAGAACCGCGGUGAGCGGAGUGAAAUAGAACCUGAAACCAUUUGCUUACAAUCAUUCAGAGCCCUAUUGUGAGUCCCUUUGAGGAAUUAAGGAGGUAUAAAGCCUUCUCACAAACCGGAUUUCUCUCAUCUUUUUUGAAAAGACAAUGACAAAGGAUGAGUUGAUUUGGGAAAAUGAAACAACGACGCAUAUAAGAAACUAGGAUUAUGAUUCACUUAUACAAUUAUAGACAAGAGCUAAUGCUUAGUAUCUCUUGUCAGAAAGAUUAUAAACUCAUCAAGCCUUAGACCUAGAAGAGAUAAUCAUUUAAGAUUAUGGAUAAGAGAGUAAAGUUUAAGAUUUAGAAGAUACUCGACUGAUUGCAGUUUGGUAUAAUAAAUUGUAUUGCUUCUUUAUAAACCAUAUAAAUAAAUGAGCUAAUAAGCCUUCACAGCAAGUUGAUACGUUUUGGCAUUAUCAUAAAAAUAUGAGCAAGAUUGCAAAAACAUUUUUGCUUAUUUUCUUUAUUAUUUUCCUUAUUUUCCCAUACGAAGAUGCUAAAAAAUUUAAAACAGACUUAGAAGCAAACUUACAAAUUUUAUAUAUAAGUGUUUUGCGAAAUGAGAUUCUUAAUAUAAAGGAGCAAGUUUAGAAUGCUUUUGCAAGAUGCUCUCAUUAUAAUAAGUGGCAUCCCAAUCAAGGCAUAAAAUUUGUCUGUGAUAGCAUGUUAGUAUUUCUUGUAUGAUUUUGUUUUCAUUAGAAAGAUUGUGCAGAAAAAUCUGCAAAGAUGAGCCCUAAGAGCUCUCACACAAAGAUUUUUAAACUUUCUAAAAAGUCAUUGCAAACUGAAUUUGAGUGAUUCUUCAAAGGGAUUCACAAGGGUGAUGGACUGCCUUUUGCAUAAUGAGCCUGCGAGUUGUGGUGUCUGGCAAGGUUAAGCAAACGCGAAGCCGUAGCGAAAGCGAGUCUGAAUAGGGCAAAAAGUCAGAUGCUGCAGACCCGAAACGAAGUGAUCUAUCCAUGAGCAGCUUGAAGCUAGUGUAAGAGCUAGUGGAGGAGCGAACCCAUAGGCGUUGAAAAGCCCCGGGAUGACUUGUGGAUAGGGGUGAAAGGCCAAUCAAACUUCGUGAUAGCUGGUUCUCUCCGAAAUAUAUUGAGGUAUAGCGUUGUGAAGUAGCUUAGGGGGGUAGAGCACUGAAUGGGCUAGGGCAUACACCAAUGUACCAAACCCUAUCAAACUCCGAAUACCCUAAGUGGUAUCACAGCAGUCAGACGGCGAGUGAUAAAAUCCGUCGUCAAGAGGGAAACAACCCAGACUAUCAGCUAAGGUCCCCAAAUCUUACUUCAGUGGAAAACGAUGUGAAGUUACUCAAACAACCAGGAGGUUGGCUUAGAAGCAGCCAUCCUUUAAAGAAAGCGUAAUAGCUCACUGGUCUAGUGAUUUUGUGCGGAAAAUAUAACGGGGCUAAAGUAAGUACCGAAGCUAUAGACUUGCAUACAACUUAGACUGAUUGAUAAGUUUUUAUGGAUAAACUUUUUCAAUUCUUUAUAUUAAGUUUCUUUAUAAAACUUUUUAUGAAUUCUUUAUUAUAAAGUUUUUGAGAUUUAUAAACCUUAAAACAAAGCUCUUAAAAGAGCCUUUAUUUUAAAUUGACUUGUUUUAAUGCUUCAUUUGAUUAAGGGCUUUAAUCAUUGAGUCUUAAAAAAGAUUAUGAGAAUGAUUAGACAAAUACAAACACUCAAAUCAAAAAAGAUUAAGAUACAAUUUAAAUGAGAAUUAUAGUGAGAUGAUAAAGAUUAUAAAGAAAAACUUUUAAAACAGAAGUUUAACAUCAAUCUCAAAGCAAAUUCUUUUUUAAGAGGAUGAAUUAAACUUUAAGAUAAAAACAAAUAAUAGAGAUAAAAUGAAAGAGCUUAUAAACCAAAGAAGCUUAUAAAGAGAAAAACUGAAAUUUUAAGUCAAAUAAUAAAAUAAAACAAUAAAAAAGAUUUAAAAUAAAAAAGAUUUAAAAUAAAAAAGAUUUAAAAUUUGAAAAGUUUUAAAAAAUCAAAAAAAGUUUUAGAAAAUUUUUAGAAAGCUUGAAAUAAAAAUUCAAAGCUCAAAUGCUUGAUAAAGAAUUCAAUUUCAAAGGUUUUCAUCAGCUUUAAUCAUCAAAGCAAAAAUUGAUUGUUUAAAAAAGCUUUUAUGACAAAGAAUUAAAUCAAGCAGUUUAAGUUGUGUGCAAGUGGUAGGAGAGCGUUCUAUUAGCGUUGAAGGUAUACCGGUAAGGAGUGCUGGAGCGAAUAGAAGUGAGCAUGCAGGCAUGAGUAGCGAUAAUUAAUGUGAGAAUCAUUAACGCCGAAAACCCAAGGUUUCCUACGCGAUGCUCGUCAUCGUAGGGUUAGUCGGGUCCUAAGCCAAGUCCGAAAGGGGUAGGCGAUGGCAAAUUGGUUAAUAUUCCAAUACCAACAUUAGUGUGCGAUGGAAGGACGCUUAGAGCUAGGAGGGCUAGCGGAUGGAAGUGCUAGUCUAAGGAUGUGAGUGCUUAUACAGGCAAAUCCGUAUAAGAAUACACUGAGGUCUUAAAGGCUCUUCAAAGUCUUCGGAUAGCGAGGAGAACCUCUGAUGCUGUCGAGCCAAGAAAAGUUUCUAAGUUUAGCUAAUGUUGCCCGUACCAUAAACCGACACAGGUGGGUGGGAUGAGUAUUCUAAGGCGCGUGGAAGAACUCUCUUUAAGGAACUCUGCAAAAUAGCACCGUAUCUUCGGUAUAAGGUGUGGUUCGCUUCGUAUUAGAAUUCACUUCGAAAGCGAAGAAACUUACAACAAAGAGUCCCUCCCGACUGUUUACCAAAAACACAGCACUCUGCUAACUCGUAAGAGGAUGUAUAGGGUGUGACGCCUGCCCGGUGCUCGAAGGUUAAUUGAUGGGGUUAGCAUCAGCGAAGCUCUUGAUCGAAGCCCGAGUAAACGGCGGCCGUAACUAUAACGGUCCUAAGGUAGCGAAAUUCCUUGUCGGUUAAAUACCGACCUGCAUGAAUGGCGUAACGAGAUGGGAGCUGUCUCAAAGAGGGAUCCAGUGAAAUUGUAGUGGAGGUGAAAAUUCCUCCUACCCGCGGCAAGACGGAAAGACCCCGUGGACCUUUACUAUAGCUUGACACUGCUGCUUGGAUAAGAAUGUGCAGGAUAGGUGGGAGGCUUUGAAUAUAUGACGCUAGUUGUAUAGGAGCCAUUGUUGAGAUACCACUCUUUCUUAUUUGGGUAGCUAACCAGCUUGAGUUAUCCUCAAGUGGGACAAUGUCUGGUGGGUAGUUUGACUGGGGCGGUCGCCUCCCAAAUAAUAACGGAGGCUUACAAAGGUUGGCUCAGAACGGUUGGAAAUCGUUCACAGAGUAUAAAGGCAAAAGCCAGCUUAACUGCAAGAGACACAACUCGAGCAGGGACGAAAGUCGGUCUUAGUGAUCCGGUGAUUCUGUGUGGAAGGGUCAUCGCUCAAAGGAUAAAAGGUACCCCGGGGAUAACAGGCUGAUCUCCCCCAAGAGCUCACAUCGACGGGGAGGUUUGGCACCUCGAUGUCGGCUCAUCGCAUCCUGGGGCUGGAGCAGGUCCCAAGGGUAUGGCUGUUCGCCAUUUAAAGCGGUACGCGAGCUGGGUUCAGAACGUCGUGAGACAGUUCGGUCCCUAUCUGCCGUGGGCGUAAGAAGAUUGAAGAGCUUUGACCCUAGUACGAGAGGACCGGGUUGAACAAACCACUGGUGUAGCUGUUGUCCUGCCAAGGGCAUCGCAGCGUAGCUAAGUUUGGAAAGGAUAAACGCUGAAAGCAUCUAAGCGUGAAGCCAACUCUAAGAUGAAUCUUCUCUAAGUUCUGUGCAAGACUAGCACUUUGAUAGGCUGGGUGUGUAAGAGAUGAAAGUCUUUGAGCUGACCAGUACUAAUAGAACGUUUGGCUUAUCUUA
rfam:Campylobacter cuniculorum LMG 24588, complete genome.